rnacentral:rRNA from 1 species
GUGAAAUUGUUGAAAGGGAAACGAUUGAAGCCAGUCGUACCUACGGGUAAUCAGCCUUUCGGAAGCGAUUCUGUGGGUUUUGAGGAGCUUCACGGCCCUCAUGGUCUACAUAUUUGUAUCCCUUGGGUGUACUUUCCCGGUGGUUGGUUAACAUCAAUUUUCGGUCAUCAUAAAAUGAUGGGAGGAAUGUAGCUUCGAUCUCGGUUGAAGUGUUAUAGCCUCUGGUAGAUGUGAUGAUCGGGAUUGAGG